GUCGAUGUCAUUGAUGAGGAAAUUAAAGGGUAUUGGUCCCAGCACUGACCCCUGAGGGACUCCACUCAUCAUCAGUCUCCAUGCAGACACUGAGCCAUUGACCACCACUCUCUGGACUUGAUCCUGCAGCCAGUUCUUUGUCCAGUGUACAGUCCGCCCAUCAAAUCCAUUUUUCCAAUGUAGAGAGAACCAUGUUUCUGCAAAGCGGUUUGUGCUGCAGAGCCAGGAUCCAGAAACUCAGCAGCUCAUUGCUCAGUGAUCUUUGGAGUCCCAACUCGUAGCUCAAGCUCUUGAAAAUACAGACUCUGUGAAAUCCAUUUCUCAGUUGAAGUUUGUAUUUCAAACAUUUGUAGAGUUCACGUCCGUUUUAAUAUCUUGUAAUAAAUGAUUAUCAGUGCCUUAAUACAUCACAUGCUAAUGCCAACAAAGAGCGCUCAUUAAUGUUCCUUAAUGAGGUUCAGAAAACAUGGAGGGGUGGUUUGCAGUUAGUGUAUGGAUGUUUAAAAGGAGCAGGAGCUCUGUAUGAAUAUCAAAGACAGCCUGAGGGAAAUAAAAGAAUUGCAAGCUGUAAACAG